rnacentral:rRNA from 1 species
UAUUGCACAAUGGGGGGAACCCUGAUGCAGCGACGCCGCGCGAGGGAAGAAGGUUUUUGGAUUGUAAACCUCUGUUCUUGGUAAAGAAGCAAGACGGUAGCCAAGGAGGAAGCCACGGCUAACUACGCGCCAGCAGCCGCGGUAAUACGUAGGUGGCAAGCGUUGUCCGGAAUUACUGGGUGUAAAGGGAGCGUAGGCGGUAAUGCAAGUUGAAUGUGAAAUCUAUCGGCUCAACUGAUAGGCUGCGUUCAAAACUGUAUAUCUUGAGUAAAGUAGAGGCAGGCGGAAUUCCUAGUGUAGCGGUGAAAUGCGUAGAUAUUAGGAGGAACACCAGUGGCGAAGGCGGCCUGCUGGACGAUGACUGACGUUGAGGCUCGAAAGCGUGGGGAGCAA